rnacentral:rRNA from 1 species
GAAGUGAAAUCCUAUAGCUUAACUAUAGAACUGCUUUGAAAACUGUUAAUCUAGAAUGUGGGAGAGGUAGAUGGAAUUUCUGGUGUAGGGGUAAAAUCCGUAGAGAUCAGAAGGAAUACCGAUUGCGAAGGCGAUCUACUGGAACAUUAUUGACGCUGAGAUGCGAAAGCGUGGGGAGCAAACAGGAUUAGAUACCCUGGUAGUCCACGCCCUAAACGAUGUACACUAGUUGUUGUGAGACUAGAUCUUGCAGUAAUGCAGUUAACACAUUAAGUGUACCGCCUGGGGAGUACGGUCGCAAGAUUAAAACUCAAAGGAAUAGACGGGGACCCGCACAAGCGGUGGAGCAUGUGGUUUAAUUCGACGAUACACGAAGAACCUUACCUGGGCUUGACAUAGUAAGAAUGAUUUAGAGAUAGAUUAGUGUCUGCUUGCAGAAACUUGCAUACAGGUGCUGCACGGCUGUCGUCAGCUCGUGUCGUGAGAUGUUGGGUUAAGUCCCGCAACGAGCGCAACCCUCGUCGUUAGUUGCUAACAGUUCGGCUGAGAACUCUAACGAGACUGCCUACGCAAGUAGGAGGAAGGUGAGGAUGACGUCAAGUCAUCAUGGCCCUUACGUCCAGGGCUACACACGUGCUACAAUGGAGUAUACAAAGAGCAGCGAUACAGUGAUGUGGAGCAAAUCUUAUAAAAUACUUCCCAGUUCGGAUUGUAGUCUGCAACUCGACUACAUGAAGUUGGAAUCGCUAGUAAUCGUAGAUCAGCUAUGCUACGGUGAAUACGUUCCCGGGUCUUGUACUCACCGCCCGUCACACCAUGGGAGUUGAACUCAUUCGAAGCGGGGAUGCUAAAGUAGCUACCUUCCACAGUGGAUUCAGCGACUGGGGUGAAGUC